ensembl:lncRNA
CACACAACAUGAUCUUCUUUAUUUAAUUGUUUAAUCAGUUUACAUUCCACAACUGACAGGUUAUUUAUUUUUAUUUUUUCCAUGAACAAGUCAUUUAAUUAAUUACCAGACACUUUUUUUUUUCUUCGAUCGAUGGAAAUACAGUAUUUCUGCCAAAUUCGAAAAAGAAAAUUGCAAGAUGCAGUCAGUGUCAGAAGUCCCCAAAUGCUCUCUGCUUCCUCAGUUCUUGCAAAGUCACAGGAACCUGGCAAUUUCCCUUUUCAUCCCACCCCUCCCACAUCCCUGUUAAAUUCACCUCUCAGAAUAGCACAAUAGUUUUGAGAUCUGGUUUGGAUCACCUUUCCUGUAAUUAAUUAACUAUGAGAAGGAACAGACAGUACAAUAGAUCUGAUAAGAUGUAGCAUUCUUGUUAAGAUUAAACAACACGUAUUCACAUCGUAUCAGAACAAAUUAACAUAAUAUUUAAUCUUAUUUUUAGCACCAAUAACCACAGGAAUUGCUACCUCCGAGGGCAGAGGUGAUGUUGGAAUCCUGCAGAACACGUCACACCUUGUCUAACCAAUCAGAAAGCACUAUGCAAAUUAAAGGUAAAUCAAUGUCUAUUGACUGAGCAAUAAUCUGGUGGACCAUAAACACUCCAGGUGUUUCGAGAGUUUUGUCGGCUAUGGUCCCUGUCUAAUGACCAUAUAUAAAACAUACUCACCGAAUCAGCUCAUUCUCUUUUGCUCAGUAACCGAGGGCUCAGAACGUGGUAUUUUAAAUGAACCCAACCAUGUCAUAUUUGGUCUUCUAAAUGCUUUGAGAACGCCCAGGGGUUGUUUGCUUGCAUUUUAUUCUGUACUUGGCACUAAAGAUCUCACUUCUUGUCUCCACCCCCAAAAGAGCUCUGGAAAUGUAGCUGCUUCAAACUGAUGUGUUUUCUAAGAGCAAAAUUCACAUCAAAUUUUGAAGACUUCAUUUGGAAAAAAAAAUAAAGAACAUCAAAUAGCUCAGUAAUUUUUAUACCGAGUCCAUGUUGAAAUGAUACUUUUUGAUUCCAUGUUGAAAUGAUACUUUUUUUUUUGAUAUGUUGGGUUAAAACAGGUAUUAAAAUUAAUCUCACCUGUUUCUUUGGACUUUUAAAAAUGGGGCCACUAGGAUAUUUAAGAUGGCAUAUGGUGCUUGCAUUGUAUCGUAUCUGCUGGACAGCACUGCCCCCAGAAAUGAUCACUGUGGACCAUCAGAGAGCAGAAAGUUUGGAUUGAUAGUAUCAUGGAGGAGGAAGGGUUAGGUCACUGGCUGUUUGGUGUGAAUCCUGCCCCUGAAGCAGCUAGUCUUCUCAAUCCUAGGGGAAGGCAGCUCUUUGUAUUAUAGGAUUACCUGCCCAUGUUCCUCUUUCCUACUUCCUCUUCGGGGUGCCCAGCCUUUGGGGGAUCCUUCUCUGCUGCCAUGCUGAGGAUGCCCUGUGAUUCUGCCAUUUCCUCCUCCAAAAGUUUUCUUUAUCUUACCUCCACCGCCCCCCCAUCCCCUGCUGCCCACCACCUCUCCCCUCCCCUCCCACCAAGGCUUUCAUCAUUCUGAUUCGAUCGCAUCCUUAGCCAGACCCCCUGCUUCCGACAGGAGCCGCCAGAUUGGUAGAGUAAGUCACAGAUUACAAAGCAAUUCACACACAUCAUCUCCUUUGAGACUCUUCCUCCUACUGACAGCGCUCUGUCAGUAACGAUAGUAAAAUGAGAUCGUCAGAGUGGGUGGAAAGGCGUCUGAGAAUGAAAAGGUAGAUAAAAGGCUUUGGACUCAGCACAAACUGGCUGUUAGCUUGAGGUUACUUUCCGAGGAGUGAAAGCGUGGGGCGAGAGCAGCAAGGAGGGGCUCUAGAAUGUACCUCCCAUGGUAAGUGCGCUCCAGCAAGGGUUCGAAGCCUUUCCCAAAAUAGCAGCAGGAUGGCCAAGGUGACUGAGCACCCCAGGUGCACUGGAAGCCCCCCUGUUUGGCUGAGAGGACGCAGAGACAGCGGUGAGGUAACAAGAUUCGCCCAGGGCCCCGAGCGAGCCAGUGACAAAACGAUUAAUACCACCCCCGGAUCGGGCCUCUGUGUUGACCUUCGCAAUAACCUUCACCUUCACACUUGGAUGAUUUACUUUUACUUUUCAGAAAAAACGUUUCACUUGAAAGGCCAAAACCUUUCAAACAGAGAGUUCCAAGCAGACACUCGUGACUGUCAGAGAAACAACCAGAAAAAAAACAAAAACAAAAAACAACCUCCUGGGCCAAUGGCUUCCCUGCCUCGGAAUCCCACCGACUCGGGGUUUCCGGGCAGUCCACAUAAGUCCUCAGAAAACUGAGGGCUACAGCAAUGCAUUUGUCUAGUCUCAAUUCCCUCCCCACUAUUUUCAGUUUCCAUUUUUAUUUGUACAUUUUUACAGAUAGUCUUGAAUAGCAAAACAGUCACACCAUGGGUGGAGAUGGGGAAAGAGGAGGAGGAGUUAUGAAAGCUCUGUAUGUGAAAGGCAGAUUUAUAGUCACAGCGACACAGACACACAGAUACACUCAGGCCAGAAAAGGUCUAAGGUGACCCAGAGAGGAAGGGAAACGCAUAGCCAGGAGAGGACAGAGGUGCACAGAGGUCCCCAAACACCCAGUCCUUGCAAGUGAAGAACAGGGGUUGCAAUUGCUGAGGUUGGUGUCUAGCAGAGUGAGGCCAGGUUUGAGUUACAGCUGUGGGACCCCCGUGCUGAUACCCAGUUUUCUGUUUCUCAGUGGUGAACACACACCCCCUGCGGUUGGGUGGUUCCUCCAUCCCUGGCUGGGCUCCAACCAUAUUGGGAGCAAUGAAUGACUCAGCUUUCCCUUAGAGCAGGUCUCAUCGUAACACUGUAAGCUGAUCCCCUGCAAAGCAGAAAGCAUGCUGACCCUUUGGGAAACGCAAUCUUUCCUUGUUUAGAACCUAGGAUUGAGUUUUCCCCCAACAGGAUCGCGCCCAGAACAACUCCCAGUGAAUGCAUCAUAAGAACCUAUCAGAACCCAUGUGCUUCUGACAAAGCCAUCUUCUUCACCAACUGACCAGAGAAAGAAGAUCCCAGUGGCUUAACACUCAUUCCCAUCUUCAACUUAAAAGACCAUUAGAAUGUUUCAGAAAUCUGAUGUGUUCCCAAUCCCUUGGGCAAGAACAGCGAGAAUUAUUAACACUAGGAGAAUGGUAAAAAAAAAAAAAAAAUAAGGCAUUGAAUACAUGUCUUGGUUAACAGUUAACUGUUUUAGCUCAUAUAUGCUAUUUUCUACAUAUGGUUUACUUAUUUCAUCGCCUCUGGGAAUAACAAAGAGGGAUUAAGAGUGCUCUUGGCAAAAUCGACUUUGGAUAAAAGGAAGGAAGCCUGAGAGUGGGUAAAUUAAGGAGCCGACUUCUCUGAGGAAGCUGGAUGACUGAAUAAAAUCCACAUGCUUAAGUUGGACAGUGCGUCCUGUUCAGCAGCGGUCCUCCAAUUCUAGGUUAUCCUUUCUGCAGUGAAGCUCAGAGACUACGUGGAAGAAUCCCAUUCAGUGGGGGCUUGCCUGCUGUAGGAGAAUCGGAACAGUGUAUAAUUUAUAUGACACUUGUGGUUUGCAAAUAACUUUGCAGUGUCUUGGUCACCCUUAAUAUACCAUGAGGUAAAGUGUUAUCACUAUCCUCAUUUUGUGGAUGAGGAAGUUCAAGUAUGGAGAAUACACAGUGCCCAGAGUCACCAAUCAUUUGAGUGCAGAACUGAGAUGAGAUGGACAGUAACUGUGUUACGCAAGUGUAGCUGAAUUAGUGAGUUACUCUGGCUUCAGUACUCUUGUAUCUAUCAUUAGAUUGAGAUGGCACUCCAAAAGAAAAGAAAUAGGAAAAAAAAAAAAGGAGGUGAAGGAAAUCACCAAGUAGGAAGCUCUUAGCUCUGUUCUACACUGCCCCUAAGCUCUGGCAUUGAGCCACUUCAAAGGCCUGUUUGCUACCUCUGGGGGCACAAAGCCCUACGCUCUCACUGCCUUGAACACAGGCUCAACUCCACAUGACCCCAUGGACUGUAU